rnacentral:rRNA from 1 species
CCUACGGGCGGCAGCAGUGAGGAAUAUUGGUCAAUGGCCGGAAGGCUGAACCAGCCAUGCCGCGUGAAGGUCAGUGCCCUAUGGGCGUUAAACUUCUUUUGUGCGGGAGCAAUAAUGGUCACGUGUGGCCAGACGAGAGUACCGUACGAAUAAGCAUCGGCUAACUCCGUGCCAGCAGCCGCGGUAAUACGGGGGAUGUAAGCGUUAUCCGGAGUUAUUGGGUUUAAAGGGUGCGUAGGCUGUGAGGUAAGUCAGCGGUGAAAUGCCCCCGCUCAACGGGGUGAAGUGCCAUUGAUACUGCCUGGCUGGAAUGCGGAUGCCGUGGGAGGAAUGUGUGGUGUAGCGGUGAAAUGCAUAGAUAUCACACAGAACACCGAUUGCGAAGGCAUCUCACGAAUCCGCGAUUGACGCUGAUGCACGAAAGCGUGGGUAUCAAACAGGAUUAGAUACCCCAGUAGUC